rnacentral:lncRNA from 1 species
GGGAUGGAAGAAGAAAUUGUCUGAUCAACAGGAGUAACUAUCAGACCAACUCUCUGAUGAUGAAACCAUGGAACAUGGAUGGAACAGGAAGCCAUAUCCUCAGCAAACUAAUGCAGGAACAGAAAACCAAACACUGCAUGUUCUCACUUACAAGUGAGAGCUGAACAAUGAGAACAGAUGAAUCUUGAUCUUUCUACUUGCUCCUGCUCUGGAACAUGUUGGUUUAUCCAGGGAUGGCCUCGGGAUAUUGUCUGGUGGGUGUGUCUAAUCUGCACAGGCCUGAUGCCCUUGAAGCUGCCUGCUACCCCAAAGACAACUCCAACCUUGGUAACGCUUGGCGUGACUUUGGACGAGUGUGUUCUCACCACAGUCAUCAUGGCGUGUCUGCAUUUCUUUGCCUGAAAACUGCUUUUUCCAUGAGGAUAAAGAUGGGGCGAGAAGUCGUACCUUGGGUAUUUCGUUGGUUUAAAAGGAAAAAGAAAAGCCUCCUCGAUCUGUGCAAGCAUGUACAUAUAUGUGCAUUAGAAUCAUUAAUAGUUCUUUGGAGAGAGGUUAAAUUUAUGUGCGGUUUAACCAAAUGAUGUGUCUCCAGGGGAAGGAGAGGGAAGCCGUCCCCCACCCACAUUAAACAGUAUUUGUGACGCAUGGAAAAAAUAAAAGAAACCCUGAACCCACGAGCCAUGAGAAAACAAAGGGGAAAUCGAAAUUGUGGAUCUGCCAGAAACCUGCCGUUCACAGAGCCCACAAAUCACAGGCAAACAAAGGGAAAUGGAAAGAUUUGGUAUUAAAAACCCAUUCUUCCCUGAACCUGUGCCAGCAUCUAUAAAACAAUUACAUGUGAUCGUACUUGAGGCUUUUCUGAGACACUAAUUCUUUUCUUGACAUGAAAAUGGCGCGCAUGUUUCUUUCAAAAUGCCAUACCCUGGAAAGAAGGGGAAACAAUUGGAAGGGCAGACCCAGAAUGUGGGGCAGGUUAGCCCAGCUCCUAAAAACUGAUAAAUCUCUGUGGUUUUCUUUCUUUUCUCCCCCUGAGAGUUUUCUUUUGAGCUGCUGAUUCUUGAAUGGGGUAUGACAACCUUGUCUGGUUCCCAGAUGGUUCCUUGGUUGCCAGGAGACCAGACAUGGGGGUGAGUGGAUCCACGAAGCGCCCCUCUCCAAAAUACGAGAAAAAAUCACCAAAGCUCAUGACCAGGAGAAGAUGAUAAGGCUGGAGGCUUGGCCCAAGGUGGAAU